CAGUUCUGCAGUAGGGAUAGGCAUUCCAUGCUUUUUCAUGUAUAUUCAGAGCUCCUUCAGGGGCCAGCAUUCUCACAAAUGUUGGCACUUUGCUCUGUAAGUGGUAGAUCUUGUGUGUGUACUGCCCACGCUCUCCAUCUCUCUCAUAGGGUUCAUUCACCAGGACCUCUACUCCUUCACCUCCACCAGUUUCAUUUUUACUGGCUUCUGCCACAGAAUACAGCUGUCCCACUUGAUACUCCUCCACAGACACAGGCAGGAUAACACGGUAUUCCUUGAUGAGCACCAUGGCGGCGCCUCCCGCCCGGGACGGCCCCGCUGAAGGUGAC
rnacentral:lncRNA from 1 species